rnacentral:rRNA from 1 species
GGGGAAUAUUGGACAAUGGGCGAAAGCCUGAUCCAGCCAUGCCGCGUGAGUGAUGAAGGCCCUAGGGUUGUAAAGCUCUUUUGUGCGGGAAGAUAAUGACGGUACCGCAAGAAUAAGCCCCGGCUAACUUCGUGCCAGCAGCCGCGGUAAUACGAAGGGGGCUAGCGUUGCUCGGAAUCACUGGGCGUAAAGGGUGCGUAGGCGGGUUUCUAAGUCAGAGGUGAAAGCCUGGAGCUCAACUCCAGAACUGCCUUUGAUACUGGAAGUCUUGAGUUCGGGAGAGGUGAGUGGAACUGCGAGUGUAGAGGUGAAAUUCGUAGAUAUUCGCAAGAACACCUGUGACGAAGGCGGCUCACUGGCCCGAUACUGACGCUGAGGCACGAAAGCGUGGGGAGCAAACA